CCUACGGGGGGCAGCAGUGGGGAAUAUUGGACAAUGGGCGCAAGCCUGAUCCAGCAAUGCCGCGUGUGUGAAGAAGGCCUGCGGGUUGUAAAGCACUUUGAGUGGGGAAGAAGGCCUGGGGGUUAAUAGCUUCUGGGAUUGACGUUACCCACAGACCAAGCACCGGCUAACUCCGUGCCAGCAGCCGCGGUAAUACGGAGGGUACGAGCGUUAAUCGGAAUUACUGUGCGCGGAUCGCGCAGAGUGAUGUGAAAGCCCUGGGCUUAACCUGGGAACUGCAGUGGAUACUGUUUGACUGGAGUGUGGUAGAGGGGGGUGGAAUUUCCGGUGUAGCAGUGAAAUGCGUAGAGAUCGGAAGGAACACCAGUGGCGAAGGCGGCACCCUGGACCGACACUGACGCUGAGGUGCGAAAGCGUGGGGAGCAAACAGGAUUAGAUACCCUAGUAGUC
rnacentral:rRNA from 1 species